rnacentral:rRNA from 1 species
UACGUAGGGUGCGAGCGUUGUUCGGAAUUACUGGGCGUAAAGGGCGCGUAGGCGGCCUGUUAAGUCGAACGUGAAAUCCCCCGGGCUCAACCCGGGAACUGCGUCCGAUACUGGCAGGCUUGAAUCCGGGAGAGGGAUGCGGAAUUCCAGGGUGUAGCGGUGAAAUGCGUAGAUAUCUGGAGGAACACCGGUGGCGAAGGCGGCAUCCUGGACCGGCAUUGACGCUGAGGGCGCGAAAAGCGUGGGGGAGCAAACAGGG